rnacentral:rRNA from 1 species
UACGAUGGGGGCUAGCGUUGCUCGGAAUCACUGGGCGUAAAGCGCACGUAGGCGGCUUUUUAAGUCAGGGGUGAAAUCCUGGAGCUCAACUCCAGAACUGCCUUUGAUACUGGGAAGCUCGAGUCCGGGAGAGGUGAGUGGAACUCCGAGUGUAGAGGUGAAAUUCGUAGAUAUUCGGAAGAACACCAGUGGCGAAGGCGGCUCACUGGCCCGGUACUGACGCUGAGGUGCGAAAGCGUGGGGAGCAAACAGG